AGCGAACGCUGGCGGCAGGCCUAACACAUGCAAGUCGAACGAAGCCUUCGGGCUUAGUGGCGGACGGGUGAGUAACACGUGGGAACGUACCUUUUGGUUCGGAACAACUCAGGGAAACUUGAGCUAAUACCGGAUGAGCCCUUAGGGGGAAAGAUUUAUCGCCGAAAGAGCGGCCCGCGUUAGAUUAGCUAGUUGGUGAGGUAAAGGCUCACCAAGGCUACGAUCUAUAGCUGGUCUGAGAGGAUGAUCAGCCACCCUGGGACUGAGACACGGCCCAGACUCCUACGGGAGGCAGCAGUGGGGAAUCUUGCGCAAUGGGCGAAAGCCUGACGCAGCCAUGCCGCGUGAAUGAUGAAGGUCUUAGGAUUGUAAAAUUCUUUUACCAGGGACGAUAAUGACGGUACCUGGAGAAAAAGCCCCGGCUAACUUCGUGCCAGCAGCCGCCGUAAGAC
rnacentral:rRNA from 1 species